rnacentral:rRNA from 1 species
UACAGAGGUCCCAAGCGUUGUUCGGAUUCACUGGGCGUAAAGGGUGCGCAGGUGGGUUUGCAAGUUCGAUGUGAAAGCCCCGGGCUUAACCCGGGAAUGGCAUUGGAUACUGCAGAUCUGGAGGAUCGGAGGGGGGACUGGAAUUCUUGGUGUAGCAGUGAAAUGCGUAGAUAUCGGGAGGAACAUCAGUGGCGAAGGCGGCCUUCUGGUCCAGUACUGACACUCAAGUGCGAAAGCGUGGGGAGCAAACAGG